UUCUUGCUGCAUGUUUGCUAAACUGCUCUUGUUGUGUCCUAGCAGCCUGGCAGUGCGGGUGCAGAUUAUUACCAAUAUGACAGCAGUAAUGCAGUUAAUUGGCAGAUCAGAGAAUACAAGAUCUACCCAUACGAAGCCCUAAUAGUGUCAGUCAGAGGGCUGCAGCGUCUCCCGAGUGACGUGGACCGAGCCAGAUUGGAGCGUCACCUCUCCCCGGAGGAGUUCUUCAGAGUCUUUGGGAUGGCCAUGUCUGCCUUUGAUCUUCUUGUUCAGUGGAAGAAAAACGAACUGAAGAAACAGGUCCGACUCUUCUGAGAAAAUGAAUCCAUUAGAACCGUUUAACCCUAAUACAGGACUAUCGCCAACUCUGUGUGCUCUGGGAAAUAGUCUCUGCCUGCUGACCCCAGACAGUGGAACAGAAACGGGAUGAAAUAAAAGUCUGUCCUCCCUUGAGGAGGCAAAAUUA